rnacentral:SRP_RNA from 1 species
GCCAGAUGUGGUGGCAUGUACCUGUAGUCUCAGCUACUCAGGAGGUUGAGGUAGGAGGAUCACUUGAGUCCAGGAGUUCUGGGCUGCAGUGUGAUAAGCCAGUCAGGUGUCUGCACUAAAUUCAGCAUCAAUAUGGUGACCUCUUAGGAGCAGGUGACCACCAGGUUGCCUAAGGAAGGGUGAACCAGCCUAGGUUGGAAAUGGAGUGAGUCAAAGCAAACAAACCUAGUCUUGUGGAGAGGAACACUCAGGAACAGUGUCCCUGAGCUGACUCGAUGUGGUCCUCUAGGCUUUU